UUGAAUCGAUCACUCAGCUUUAAAUUGCUUUAAUCGCAGAAUCUAUUUUACGACAGUGCUGAGACAACAACUAUGUGGCUUGCCAACAAAUAUCAACACAGAAAACCACUUCCUGACAGAAAUGCACCUUAUGUAGCUCAUGCCUGGAAACACAAUAUAGACAAACGUGCUCGUAUUACCUCAGAUGGAUUUCUCAACUGGGCCAGUCAUUCUGUAACUCUCCUUCUCACUCGGGACCUGAGCCCUAGGACCAUGCCCCAGGACUACCUGACAUGAUGACUCCUUGCUGUCCCCAGUCCACCUGGCCAUGCUGCUGCUCCAGUUUCAACUGGCCUGGGCCCUAGGACCAUGUCCCAGGACUACCUGACAUGAUGACUCCUUGCUGUCCCCAGUCCACCUGGCCAUGCUGCUGCUCCAGUUUCAACUGUUCUGCCUUACUAUUAUUCAACCAUGCUGGUCAUUUAUGAACAUUUGAACAUCUUGGCCACGUUCUGUUAUAAUCUCCACCCGGCACAGCCAGAAGAGGACUGGCCACCCCACAUAUGCUCUCUCUAAUUCUCUCUUUCUUUCUCUCUCUCUCGGAGGACCUGAGCCCUAGGACCGUGCCCCAGGACUACCUGACAUGAUGACUCCUUGCUGUCCCCAGUCCACCUGACUGUGCUGCUGCUCCAGUUUCAACUGUUCUGCCUUAUUAUUAUUCGACCAUGCUGGUCAUUUAUGAACAUUUGAACAUCUUGGUCAUGUUCUGUUAUAAUCUCUACCCGGCACAGCCAGAAGAGGACUGGCCACCCCACAUAGCCUGGUUCCUCUCUAGGUUUCUUCCUAGGUUUUGGCCUUUCUAGGGAGUUUUUCCUAGCCACCGUGCUUUUACACCUGCAUUGUUUGCUGUUUGGGGUCUUAGGCUGGGUUUCUGUACAGCACUUUGAGAUAUCAGCUGAUGUACGAAGGGCUAUAUAAAUAAAUUUGAUUUGAUUUGAUUUGAACACGCCACACCCUGAUAAGGGCCUGCUCUCUGUGAUGAAGCCAUAUUAGCUAUGUGAUUUAUUUGCUCUCUAUUUGAUGAAUGGGUCACAUUCCAG